CGUCCCAAAAUUCUUGUCUUAGAUUUGUCUAGAUACGAAUGUAUCAAGUCACAUUUUAGUAUUAGAUACAUCCAUAUCUAGACAAAUCUAAGACAAGAAAUUUGGGACAGAGGGAGUAGUUG
rnacentral:pre_miRNA from 1 species